rnacentral:misc_RNA from 1 species
CGGACGAAACGCAGUGGGUGGUCGUGAUGGACGCUUUUACGUCGUCUCCGACCCAGGGGACUACGACGCAGUUACCCCUCGCCCGGGCACCCUCCGUCAUGCGGUCAUCCAAGAUGAAUCCUUAUGGAUCGUGUUCAAACAUGAUAUGGUCAUCACUUUGAAGCAAGAGCUCAUCAUGAAUAGCUUUAAGACCAUUGACGGUCGUGGCGCCAAUGUCCACAUCGCCUACGGAGCAUGCAUCACCAUCCAAUUUGUCACUAACAUCAUCAUCCAUGGCAUCCACAUACACGAUUGCAAGCCUACGGGUAAUGCGAUGGUACGUAGCUCACCGUCCCAUUAUGGGUGGCGAACCAUAGCCGAUGGCGAUGGUGUGUCGAUUUUUGGUGGGAGCCAUGUGUGGGUUGAUCAUUGUUCGUUGUCGAAUUGUGCGGAUGGACUUAUUGAUGCAAUUAUUGGAUCUACUGCUAUCACGAUCUCCAACAACUACUUCACUCAUCAUAACGAG